ACUUACUCAUCGAAAUAUGCCCAUUCCAAAAUCAUCCAGUCCCAGAGUUCCUCCAGCAAAACCCAAGUCCAGGGUGGUCAAAUUUCAUCAAGUGGUAGCUCCAUGUAUGGAGAGG